rnacentral:antisense_RNA from 2 species
CGUCUUGGCGGCUGUGCGUGGGAGAUCCUCGGAUCUGCCGGGCUCCUAUACCCCCGGUUCGCUAACCUGCGUACAGUCGCCACCAUU